UGAGCUUAAGCUCGAGCCCUUUGAUGCACUUGACUUCAUCUAAUUAAGAUACAAAACAUAUAAUAAGCAAAGGUAUGAUGCACAUGCAAAAGCUACGGAUGCACAUAAUUAACCGAACUGAAAAAACAACUUUACAAUAUUGAGUAUAUAUGAACUUUGGAAAAGAUAUCAGCAUCAAAAUAUAAGGAUUACAGAUAACAGGUAAUGACUCCAUAUGGUUCUCACAAUAUUAUAAGGAUCAAAGACUACAGAUACAAAACAUAUAUAUAUAUAUAUAUUGUCAUGAAACCAUUAGCUACCAUAAUGACUCCAUAUGGUCCUCACAAUAUUAUAAGAACAUAUUUAUAAUUAAGUUGUCUGCAAAUAAUUUAAGCCCAGUUCAUCAUCUAUGCUUUAACCCAGGUUUUCAUUUGGUUGCUUUUGGACUACAAAUCACGUACAUUAUGUAGCUACUUUGGAUCGUAUGAAAUCCACUCAAACCCUAGUAUUUUUUCUUUGUACAUUGUCAUUGGUUUGAUUUUUGUGUUUUCUUUUCACGGAUCAAGCACAAGUUCUCUUCUUUUCCCAGUACUCCCCCACGGCCCCAAUUUCUCCAAUAACCCUAAUUUCCCCAACAGCCCCAAUUUCCCAAACAGCCUUAAUUUCCCCACAUUGAUAGACACUCCCCAACAACCCUAAUUUCCCCAACAGCCCAAAUUUCCCCACAUCGACAGACACUCCCCUGGCAUACCCAAAACAAAUUGCAGUGCAUAACCAAAAUUUCUCACAAAUUAAUCAAACCUCAACUAAUAGUCUAAUAAUGUUCAGAAAUGAAAUUACCCAACCAAAUCCUGCAUACCCAAAACAAAUUGCAAAAUCCAUGAAAUUGAAAAGUUACAGAUCAGAACCAAUGAAAUUGAAAAAAAAAAAUCUACAAAACGCAUCACAGGGGUGACUGGGUGAGAGACUAACCUUGCAAAUGAGGGAAUUUGUGGGUCGAGACUCGAGACUCGAAAUGGAGAGAGGAAGUCGUGGGUCGCGCGCGGGUCACGGGUCACAGGGGUGAGAGAUUGAGAGUGAGAUGGCGUCAGUGAGAUGUGAGACAGGUCGCAGGUCGCUGGGAAGGAAGAAGAUGAAGCGGAAGAGCGGCGGAGCUGGGAAGGAGAUGGUCUAGAGUGAGAGUACAGAGGAGAGGUAUGGCUGCUACUAAUGGCUAGGGUUAAAGGGUUUUGUUGAUUACUCAUAAAAAUUAAAAAAAAUCUCCGAAAUCCUGAAGGCAUGAAGGUUUGAACCCAUGCGCUCCAGCUUGACAAGUUUCACUGAAACCAACUUGGCAACAAGUUCUUGUAUGACUUAACUAUUUAUAAAUAUUGAAAAAAAUAAUUAAAUAUAUAUAUCGGUUCGCUUCGGUUUUCAAAUCUAAAAAACCGAAACCGAACUA
rnacentral:lncRNA from 1 species